rnacentral:rRNA from 1 species
GACGAACGCUGGCGGCGUGCUUAACACAUGCAAGUCGAACGGAAAGGCCCCUUUGGGGGUACUCGAGUGGGGGACGGGUGCGUAACACGUGAGUAACCUGCCCUUGCCUUCGGGAUAACUUCAGGAAACUGGGGCUAAUACCGGAUAGGAAUCCUUGCUGCAUGGUGGGGGUUGGUAAGAUUCGGCGGUUUUGGAUGGACUCGCGGCUUAUUAGCUUGUUGGUGGGGUAGUUGCUUACCAAGGCUUUGACGGGUAGCCGGCCUGAGGGGGCGACCGGCCACAUUGGGACCGAGAUACGGCCCAGACUCCGACGGGGGGCAGCAGGGGGGAAUAUUGCACAAUGGGCGGAAGCCUGGUGCAGCAACGCCGCGUGCGGGAUGACGGCCUUCGGGUUGUAAACCGCUUUCAGCAGGGGCGAAGCUUGUGGUGACGGUACCUGCAGAAGAAGCACCGGCUAACUACGUG